rnacentral:rRNA from 1 species
GAUGAACGCUGACAGAAUGCUUAACACAUGCAAGUCUUUGGCGAAGCUGUGCUUGCACAGCCUAGCCAAGGCGGACGGGUGAGUAACGCGUCAGGAACUUGCCCUGCAGUCAGGGAUAACAGACGGAAACGACUGAUAAGACCUGGUAAAAUCAGGCGGACUCAUGUCCAGCCUGCUGAAAAGAGAUGCUGCAGGAGAGCCUUGCGUCCUAUUAGCUUGUUGGUGGGGUAACGGCCCACCAAGGCGAUGAUAGGUAGCCGGCCUGAGAGGGUGGACGGCCACAAGGGGACGGAGAUACCGCCCUUCCUCCUACUGGAGGCAGCAGUAGGGAAGAUUGGACGACGGGGGCAACCCUGAUGCAGCAAUUAUGUGGGCACGAUGAAGGUUUUCGGAGUGUAAAGUGCUUUCAUCAGGGAAGAAAAAAAUGACGGUACCGGCAGAAGAAGCGACGGCUAACUACGUG